AAGGAUGUAUUACAACAAAAAGAC
rnacentral:tRNA from 1 species